CUGCUAUUCAGCAAUAAAUACAAAAAACAUGUUUUUGAUACAUAUAUCAAUGUGGCUGAAUGUUGAAAUAAGUAUGUUGAAUAAAAAAGCCAGAUAAAAUGAUCACAUACUGUAUAAUUAGCUUUAUCACAAUUCUAGAAAAUACAUAAUAUUGACAAAGUAAUCGGUGGUUCCCUGCAUAUGUAAUUGGAGGAAGGGAUGUUUUAUAAUAGUGAUAGUGGCAGGAGGCAGACAAAUUCCUAGGCAGAUCAGGGUGGGUCCCUGGUGAAAUCCAACUUUCAAGCCAAAGCCUGAAAAGCCUGAAAACCGGGCUGCCAGUUCCAGGUAGAAUCCACAACCGGAAGUGAGAACUUCCUGAUGCCUUUCAGCCAAUCAAAUGGUUCUUCUUUCAGAGCCCACCCAUGGACCAAUCAGCAUGCACGUCCUUCAUUCUGAGCAUAUAAAAACCCCUGGACUCGGCCACAGCUGUCGACUACCAGGCUGCGUUAGGAGCUACCGUCUUCAGCUUUUUCUCGCUGCUGAGAGCUGUUUUGUUACUCAGUAAAACUCUUCUCCACCGUGCUCACCCUUCAGUUGACCGUGCAACUUCAUUCUUCCUGGACAUAAACCCGGGACCCACAGAACAGCGGGUGCAAAAAGGGCUGUAACGCUUUCCUGGCCGGAUCGCCAAGCUGCAGGUAAGAUGUGCCUGCUUCACCUACUGGCGUGAAUGUAAACUUUCUGAGACCUUCCCAGCCAUGUGGAACUCAUAUAAACAAACAUGCACACUAACACCCAGGAUGGAUAUAUCUAAGUUUGCUCAUCAGACCGAAAGUUUUCCAAUCUGGCAUGCUCCAGACUGCCAAGUGACAAAUAACAAAAGAAGCUAUGAGACCUGGGAAGAAGCCUGUGCAAAUGAGGAAUCUUGGAGCUAAAUCUCUACUAGCUUAGUGGAAGUCCCUUCUGCUUACAAAUGGAGUGCGUAUUUUUUCCUUUUGCUUUGUUUUUACAC
rnacentral:lncRNA from 1 species